ACGCUGGCGGCACGCCUAACACAUGCAAGUCGAACGAAGUAGCAAUACUUAGUGGCAGACGGGUGAGUAACAUGUAGGUAUCUGCCCUUUGGCCUGGAAUAACACGAGGAAACUUGUGCUAAUACCGGAUAAGUCUUUACAGAGAAAGCUUUAUGCACCAUUGGAUGAGCCUGCACUUGAUUAGUUUGUUGGUGGGGUAAUGGCCUACCAAGACUGUGAUCAAUAGCUGAUUUGAGAGGAUGAUCAGCCACAUUGGGACUGAGACACGGCCCAAACUCCUACGGGAGGCAGCAGUGGGGAAUCUUGCACAAUGGAGGAAACUCUGAUGCAGCGAUGCCGCGUGAGUGAAGAAGGCCUUUGGGUUGUAAAGCUCUUUCGUCGGGGAAGAAAAUGACUGUACCCGAAUAAGAAGGUCCGGCUAACUUCGUGCCAGCAGCCGCGGUAAUACGAAGGGACCUAGCGUAGUUCGGAAUUACUGGGCUUAAAGAGUUCGUAGGUGGUUGAAAAAGUUAGUGGUGAAAUCCCAGAGCUUAACUCUGGAACUGCCAUUAAAACUUUUCAGCUAGAGUAUGAUAGAGGAAAGCAGAAUUUCUAGUGUAGAGGUGAAAUUCGUAGAUAUUAGAAAGAAUACCAAUUGCGAAGGCAGCUUUCUGGAUCAUUACUGACACUGAGGAACGAAAGCAUGGGUAGCGAAGAGGAUUAGAUACCCUCGUAGUCCAUGCCGUAAACGAUGUGUGUUAGACGUUGGAAAUUUAUUUUCAGUGUCGCAGGGAAACCGAUAAACACACCGCCUGGGGAGUACGACCGCAAGGUUAAAACUCAAAUGAAUUGACGGGGACCCGCACAAGUAGUGGAGCAUGUGGUUUAAUUCGAAGAUACGCGCAGAACCUUACCAACACUUGACAUGUUCGUCGCGACUCUAAGAGAUUAGAGUUUUCGGUUCGGCCGGACGAAACACAGGUGCUGCAUGGCUGUCGUCAGCUCGUGUCGUGAGAUGUUGGGUUAAGUCCCGCAACGAGCGCAACCCUCACUUUUAGUUGCCAUCAUUAAGUUGGGCACUCUGAAAGAACUGCCAGUGAUAAGCUGGAGGAAGGUGGGGAUGACGUCAAGUCCUCAUGGCCCUUACGUGUUGGGCUACACACGUGCUACAAUGGUAUCUACAACAGGAAGCAAGACUACGAAGUUAAGCAAAUCCCUAAAAGAUACCUCAGUUCGGAUUGCACUCUGCAACUCGAGUGCAUGAAGCUGGAAUUACUAGUAAUCGUGGAUCAGCGUGCCACGGUGAAUGCGUUCCCGGGUCUUGUACUCACCGCCCGUCA
rnacentral:rRNA from 1 species